UUGAACGCUGGCGGCAGGCCUAACACAUGCAGGUCGAACGGUAACAGGAAGCAGCUUGCUGCUUCGCUGACGAGUGGCGGACGGGUGAGUAAUGUCUGGGAAGCUGCCUGAUGGAGGGGGAUAACUACUGGAAACGGUAGCUAAUACCGCAUAAUGUCGCAAGACCAAAGAGGGGGACCUUCGGGCCUCUUGCCAUCGGAUGUGCCCAGGUGGGAUUAGCUUGUUGGUGGGGUAACGGCUCACCAAGGCGACGAUCCCUAGCUGGUCUGAGAGGAUGACCAGCCACACUGGAACUGAGACACGGUCCAGACUCCUACGGGAGGCAGCAGUGGGGAAUAUUGCACAAUGGGCGCAAGCCUGAUGCAGCCAUGCCGCGUGUAUGAAGAAGGCCUUCGGGUUGUAAAGUACUUUCAGCGGGGAGGAAGGGAGUAAAGUUAAUACCUUUGCUCAUUGACGUUACCCGCAGAAGAAGCACCGGCUAACUCCGUG
rnacentral:rRNA from 1 species